UGCUAAUUAAUGUUCCAAACAGCAGCUUAAUAAGAGCAAAGUUAUUUUGAUAAAUUCUUUAUUAUUUUCAAAAUUAAUUGAAACAAAGGCAGUGUGUCUCAACAGAAAUA